AAAUGAACCACAUGCUUUAAUAGCAUGGCUGUUUUCCAGUGCUACCUUGUUUGAGUAAAUUAUAUAAACUGUAACUGGGGGUAAUGUACUUGAGGAUUGCAUAUUUAAGAAAAUAACUAGAUAGAUAUUACUCAUCAAACUUUAACUGGCCAUGUUAAAUUUACUCAAUUCCUUUGCCAAAUGUAUUUUUUUAAAUUCAAUACUUAAGUUUAUUUAAAAUUUAUGUGUGCAAAAACUUGCAAAAUACAAAUUAAGUAAAUCUACUUAUUGUUUUUUUUUCAGUGUAGUAGUUGCAUAUUUUGGUGCAGGAGCAGCGGCAAUUAGUGCAGCAGCGGUUCAAGGAGGAGCAGCAGCAGUCAAAGGAGGAGCAGCAGCAGUCACAGGAGGAGCAGCUGCAGUCGCAGGAGGAGCAGCAGCAGUCGCAGGAGGAGCAGUUGCAGUCGCAGGAGGAGCAGCAGCAGUCGCAGGAGGAACAGCAGUCAAAGGAGUAGCAGCAGCAGUUGCAGGAGGAGCAGCUGCAGUCGCAGGAGGAGCAGCAGUCACAGGAAUAGCAGCAGCAGUCACAGGAGGAGCAGCAGUCGCAGGAGGAGCAGCAGCAGUCACAGGAGGAGCAGCAGCAGUCGCAGGAGGAACAGCAGUCAAAGGAGUAGCAGCAGCAGUUGCAGGAGGAGCAGCUGCAGUCGCAGGAGGAGCAGCAGUCACAGGAGUAGCAGCAGCAGUCGCAGGAGGAGCAGCUGCAAUCGCAGGAGGAACAGCAGUCACAGGAGUAGCAGCAGCAGUCGCAGGAGGAGCAGCAGUCACAGGAGUAGCAGCAGCAGUCGCAGGAGGAGCAGCUGCAGUAAGAGGAGGAGUAGCAAUCACAGGAGGAGCAGCUGCAGUCGCAGGAGGAGCAGCAGUCACAGGAGGAGCAGCUGCAGUUGCCGGAGGAGCAGCAGUCACAGGAGGAGCAGCUGCUGUCGCAGGAGGAGCAGCAGUCACAGGAGUAGCAGUAGCAGUCACAGGACGAGCAGCUGCAGUCAGAGGAGGAGUAGCAGUCACAGGAGGAGCAGCUGCAGUCGCAGGAGGAACAGCUGCAGUCGCAGGAGGAACAGCAGUCACAGGAGGAGCAGCAGCAGUCACAGGAGGAGCAGCUGCAGUCGCAAGAGGAGGAGCAGCAGUCGCAGGAGGAGCAGCUGCAGUCGCAGGAGGAGCAGCAGUCGCUGGAGGAGCAGCAGUCGCAGGAGAACCAGCUGCAGUCGCAGGAGGAGCAGCAGCAGUCGCAGGAGGAGCAGCAGCAGUUGUAGGAGGAGCAGCUGCAGUUGCAGGAGGAGAAGCAGUCACAGGAGGAGCAGCAGCAGUCGCAGGAGCAGCCGCAGCAUUUGCAGAAGGAGCAACAGUCACAGGAGGAGCAGGAGCAGCAGCAGCAGACACAGGAGCAGCAGCAGUCACAGGAGGAGGAGCAGCAGCAUUCGCAGGAGGACCAGCAGCAGUCGCAGAAGGAGCAGCAGUCGCAGGAGGCGCAGCGGAAGCAGGAGCAGUGGCUGGAGGUGCCGGAGCAGCACCGGGUACAGGGGUUAGUGCAGGUACGAUCUCUGCAGGUGUUCUUGGAGUCAUAGCUGUUGUUAAUAAUAGAGAUACGAAAAAGCUGUUUGGACUGAACAAAUAUAUUAUUUAAACUUUNAAAUGCUGUUUUGGGUUUUCUGGAAUGAUGUGGUCAAAACAAUACAAAAUGUCUACAUGCUCUUACUCGAAAACUCUCCAAAGGGCUUUAUGUACAACCGUUACAGCCUUUUGUCACUUUGAGCAAG
ensembl:lncRNA